GAGGGCGAGUGAGGGGCGGGGUUUAAGUGGACGCAGCGGGCGGCCUUGCGUCCUGACGUCACGAGGACCUUAUAUACUCGACUAAGCCGCCAUCUCGGUCUUUCGGAGCUGUGCGGCAGGCUGAGCAGGAAUGGCAAUGUGGACCUCUGUGAUGGGACAACUGGUGGGAUCUCACAUCCAGUUCUGUGUCAAAGGAGGAUGAAGACUAAGGACUCAUGAGGAAGCUGGAUUACUGGACGAGAGCAAUGUUCUAGAAGGGAAGACCAGAAAAUGAGAUGGUGGAGUUUAAUAAGGCUGGACAGACAGUUUUGAAAACACAAAUGGUUUGAAUAAAGAAAGGUAUUACACAUGGAUCCCCUCAGUUGAAGGCACUGAUGGGUCUUUCUGAAUUUCUGGUCCUUCUGAAUUUCAAGGGCUCCUGUGACAAGUAGACAUGGCAGUGACUUCACCAUUUUGUUUCUGAGGUGCCUGGAUGGAGACUCAAAUAGAAGAUGGUGUCAGAUACAUUGUGUUGUCAAGAUUUUACCAUUAAAGUGUGUUAUAAACAUG
rnacentral:lncRNA from 1 species